UUUUUUUAACAAAUUGUGCUCUGCCCUAAUUGCAAUUGAACUUAAGAAUGCAGAACAUAAGCAUUGUUGAGCAAUACAUCAUAGAAACCAGGCAUGGACUAGUGGCGUGAGACAGCCAAAGCCACAAGUUCCCCUCUCUUAAUUUUUGUCAAUAAGAUCAUAUAAUGAAUUGAGAAAAAGUAAGAAACAAAAUUAUCCAAGCUCUCAAAGCAAACAUUAGCUUUGAACUUCGAUGCAUCCUGGAAAUGUUAAAAGCCUUGACCAGAAGAAAUAAGAGGACAUGGGUAAGGGAGGUUUUUUAUAGAUUUAGAAGUCAUGCCUCUAGGCAACUGUGGAGGAUUGAUGUAGUUUAUACUUUUCAACAGAUAUUGCUGCACUAUACCCUCAAGAGAGUUCUAAAUGAGUUUCAAUCCAGCCACUUACAAGCAAGUGAAAUGAGCUACCUUCCCAUGUGGCAAACUGUAAGGAGAGCUAAGCUUCAUAAACGAGACACAAUCCUGCAUGGGAUGUACUGCCAGGUGCAGUACUUUUCCUCUAUUUAAACUAUGGGGCAGGUUAAUUAGACAGAAGAUGGUACACUGUUAAUUCAUUUGAUCCUAACUCCGAGCAGUAUUUCCAGUAAAUAUCCCUGUCAUCAAUUCUGCAACAGAAACAUAUAGAAUACUUUUUUUUUAAGAAAAAAAAAAUCUCUAGUAUUGAAAGUUGAAGAAAUUUUGUUACAACAGAAAACACAUUGAAGUUAUUCCACCACUAUUAUCAAUUAGAAAGGAAGACGGGAGCUCCUGUAAAUUGGCAUGAUCUUGUAUCUGUAAAAACUUAGAAUAUCAUAUCAAAUUUAAUAGCUUACAACAACUGAAAUAUGUUGAACUAUCAAACACUGGCUCACAACAAUUGGAAUCUGCAGUAAUGACUUCUCAAAGAGAGCAGAACAAAAAUGGAUGAGAAAAAUCUCACCAUAAACAAAUGUGGCAAGACUACAAGUAGCAGAACCUAUAAACACAUUGAUGGUGAAGAAAACAGGGCCAGAGACCAACUAAUUAUGAGUAUCUUGCUCCAUGGACAUAGGGAAUGGAACUUUAAUGGACUAUUCAAGAACAAGUUACCGCAUUAAAAUUAG
rnacentral:misc_RNA from 1 species